rnacentral:rRNA from 1 species
AAGGGCCGCAGUAUUCUGACUGUGCAAAGGUAGCAUAAUCGAUAGGUUUUUAAUUAAGAUCUUGUAUGAAUGAUUGGACAAAAGGAAGACUGUCUUUAUACUAAAAUUUGAAUUUAACUUUUAAGUGAAAAGGCUUAAAUUGUCUAAAGGGACGAUAAGACCCUAUAAAACUUUACAUUAGAAUUAAUAUUUUAUUAAAUUUUUAUAAUAAAAAUUUAGUUUAAUUUUUUGUUAUGUUGGGGAGACAAAAGCUAUAAUUUGUAUUAACUGCUUGAGAGAAAUACAAUAAUAAAUGAGUUUAAGUUUAUAGAUCCUUAAAAUAAAGAUUAAAAGAUUAAGUUACUUUAGGGAUAACAGCGUUAUUUUUUUUUAGAGUUCAUAUCAAAAAAAAAGAUUGCGACCUCGAUGUUGAAUUAAAAUAUCUUUAUAAUGCAGGUGUUAUAAAARAAAGUCUGUUCGACUUUUAAUUUUUUACGUGAUC